rnacentral:rRNA from 1 species
UACGGAGGGGGCAAGCGUUGUUCGGCAUUACUGGGCGUAAAGGGCGCGUCGGCGGACCUUCAAGUCAGGGGUGAAAGGCCUGGGCUCAACCUGGGAACUGCCUUUGAAACUGGAGGUCUUGAGUCCGGGAGAGGAUGGCGGAAUUCCCAGUGUAGAGGUGAAAUUCGUAGAUAUUGGGAAGAACACCGGUGGCGAUGGCGGCCAUCUGGUCCGGCACUGACGCUGAGGCGCGAAAGCGUGGGGAGCAAACAGG